CAGUCGCCACGGUAAUACGUAGGUGGCAAGCGUUGUCCGGUAUUAUUGGGCGUAAAGGGCUCGCAGGCGGUUUCUUAAGUCUGAUGUGAAAGCCCCCGGCUCAACCGGGGAGGGUCAUUGGAAACUGGGAAACUUGAGUGCAGAAGAGGAGAGUGGAAUUCCACGUGUAGCGGUGAAAUGCGUAGAGAUGUGGAGGAACACCAGUGGCGAAGGCGACUCUCUGGUCUGUAACUGACGCUGAGGAGCGAAAGCGUGGGGAGCGAACAGGAUUAGAUACCCCUGUAGUCCCUGUCUCUUAUAC
rnacentral:rRNA from 1 species